GCCGCGAUAGCUCAGUCGGUAGAGCAGAGGACUGAAAAUCCUUGUGUCGGCAGUUCAAAUCUGCCUCGCGGCA
rfam:Candidatus Melainabacteria bacterium RIFCSPLOWO2_12_FTLL_35_11 rifcsplowo2_12_scaffold_400, whole genome shotgun sequence.